GACGAACGCUGGCGGCGUGCCUAAUACAUGCAAGUCGAGCGCAGGAAAUCGACGGAACCCUUCGGGGGGAAGUCGACGGAAUGAGCGGCGGACGGGUGAGUAACACGUAAAGAACCUGCCCUCAGGUCUGGGAUAACCACGAGAAAUUGGGGCUAAUACCGGAUGGUCAUCGGACCGCAUGGUCCGAGGAUGAAAGGCGCUCCGGCGUCGCCUGGGGAUGGCUUUGCGGUGCAUUAGCUAGUUGGUGGGGUAAUGGCCCACCAAGGCGACGAUGCAUAGCCGACCUGAGAGGGUGAUCGGACACACUGGGACUGAGACACGGCCCAGACUCCUACGGGAGGCAGCAGUAGGGAAUCUUCCACAAUGGACGAAAGUCUGAUGGAGCAACGCCGCGUGAACGAUGAAGGCCUUCGGGUCGUAAAGUUCUGUUGUAAGGGAAGAACAAGUGCCGCAGGCAAUGGCGGCACCUUGACGGUACCUUGCGAGAAAGCCACGGCUAACUACGUGCCAGCAGCCGCCGUAACAC
rnacentral:rRNA from 1 species